CGUAAAUGUAGUUACGUGCAUUGAGUGUGUUAACUUUUAGAGACAACCGUGUCACUGUAACAUAGGCCACUGUAUCAAACACAACUUUUUUUAAAUCAAAAAUUCUAUCAUACAGAGGUAAGUUUUAUUUUGAGAACUGGCUUUUGGCAAAUAAACCAAUUGCACAUAAAGAGCCAAACUAAAAAUUCUUAGCAAUUAUAUUAACCAGCUGAUUACGAAUGAGUGACACAACUCAUUCGACUGAAUUCGGUUCCAUGUAUGGUAUAUUCUCGUCGUUGUCGUUAUUGUUUCGAUCUUUGUUGUUCCGUCGUGACUUGGUGGCAUUUCGACGCUUACGUUUAGCAUCCUUGAUACUUGUCAUCUACAAAUAA
rnacentral:lncRNA from 1 species